rnacentral:rRNA from 1 species
ACGAACGCUGGCGGCGUGCCUAAUACAUGCAAGUUGAGCGCUGAAGGUUGGUACUUGUACCGACUGGAUGAGCAGCGAACGGGUGAGUAACGCGUGGGGAAUCUGCCUUUGAGCGGGGGACAACAUUUGGAAACGAAUGCUAAUACCGCAUAAAAACUUUAAACACAAGUUUUAAGUUUGAAAGAUGCAAUUGCAUCACUCAAAGAUGAUCCCGCGUUGUAUUAGCUAGUUGGUGAGGUAAAGGCUCACCAAGGCGAUGAUACAUAGCCGACCUGAGAGGGUGAUCGGCCACAUUGGGACUGAGACACGGCCCAAACUCCUACGGGAGGCAGUAGUAGGGAAUCUUCGGCAAUGGACGAAAGUCUGACCGAGCAACGCCGCGUGAGUGAAGAAGGUUUUCGGAUCGUAAAACUCUGUUGGUAGAGAAGAACGUUGGUGAGAGUGGAAAGCUCAUCAAGUGACGGUAACUACCCAGAAAGGGACGGCUAACUACGUG